rnacentral:rRNA from 1 species
AGAGUUUGAUCCUGGCUCAGGAUGAACGCUAGCUACAGGCUUAACACAUGCAAGUCGAGCGGUUCGUGCUUUUGCACAUUCAGCGGCAGACGGGUGAGUAACACGUAUCUAACCUUCCCCUUACUUGGGCAUAGCCUCUGGAAACGGAGAUUAAUUUCCGAUGUGGUGUACAUUUCGCAUGUUUUGCGCACCAAAGAUUUAUCGGUAAGGGAUGGGGAUGCGCUCCCUUAGGUUGUAGGUAGGGUAAUGGCCUACCUAGCCUAUGAUGGAUAGGGGUUCUGAGAGGAAGGUCCCCCACAUUGGAACUGCGACACGGUCCAAACUCCUACGGGAGGCAGCAGUGAGGAAUAUUGGUCAAUGGCCGGAAGGCUGAACCAGCCAAGUAGCGUGCAGGAUGACUGCCUUAUGGGUUGUAAACUGCUUUUUUACGGGAAUAAUUAUGAUCACGUGUGAUUAUUUGCAUGUACCGUAAGAAUAAGGAUCGGCUAACUCCGUGCCAGCAGCCGCGGUAAUACAGAGGAUCCUAGUGUUAUCCGGAUUUAUUGGGUUUAAAGGGAGCGUAGGCGGGAGGUCAAGUCAGCUGUGAAAUGUAUCUGCUUAACGGGUACACUGCAGUUGAAACUGGUUUUCUUGAGUGCGUAAGAGGCAGGCGGAAUUCGUUGUGUAGCGGUGAAAUGCUUAGAUAUGACGAGGAACUCCUAUUGCGAAGGCAGCUUGCUGGGUCGUUACUGACGCUGAUGCUCGAAGGUGUGGGGAUCAAACAGGAUUAGAUACCCUGGUAGUCCGCACAGUAAACGAUGAUCACUAGAUGUCGGGUUCGAUAGGGAUUCGGUAUCGUAGCAAACGCGGUAAGUGAUUCGCCUGGGGAGUACGAUCGCAAGGUUGAAACUCAAAUGAAUUGACGG